rnacentral:misc_RNA from 1 species
CUUGAAUAAUUUGAGUAAGGUAUAACACCCGAAUUCCUACAAAUAUAGAAGAAAAAUAGCUACUCUAUGGACUCAUUGCUCAUUUCGAGUUGAUGUUCAACAGCUAUCAUAUUUCACAAUUCCAGACAGACUGAGCUAGUAUACACCCGCAAAAUUUCAGUGGCUAAAAUUAGGUGUACGAGUAUAAACAGCUAAUAGGCAGUCUUCUUUUCAUGUAAAACUCAUUUUUGGUACUACAAAAGUUCAUCUCUGCUUCCAUAGGCGAAGAACCGAUUUUCAUUAACAAACUGAUAGUACCUUUCCUCCCCAUAAAGUUGCCUGCAAGUUCAAGUAGUUAAUCUAAGCUUAUUAUAAACUCCCAUGUAAAUCAAAACAAACUCAUACUUUAUAUAUCGAGUUAUGACUCAUAUUCAUUAGAGGGAAAUUUACCAUUCGCUAAAAGCUUCUGGCAAAAGGGAGGAGCUCUGUAAUUAGGAGUAACUAUGUAAAUCUUAUUUGCAUUAGGAAUCCAGGGUGCACAAGGAUUAAGUUAUCACAAAAAGGCGUCCAUGGAUGUAGCCAAACUUGCUGACCAUGUAAAAUCCUUGUGUUUGCUUUUCUCUCUUUAUUUCCUAAUCUCUGUGUGUUUGAGUGUGUGUGUGUGUGUGCGCGUUCAGGGGUACUUUAUACUACCAAUAUGAACGGUUAAUUCAACGCAAUAGAGCACAAUCAAGCACUUGAUCAGUUGAAAAAUACUCAACUCAACUCAACUGAACCAAGCCUUUAUCCCAAGUUGAUCAGUUGAAAAAUAAGUAAAUAAAAAUCUUGGGCAAUCAAACAGAGCAUGAAGAAGUACAAAGAACUAACCAUGAGGUAGAACUAGAGUGCAAUAUAUAUAUCCAAUAAUAACUAGCAUCUAAUUGAUAAAUCUUAAUCCACAGUUAAGUAAAAGUGACGGCUAUUCCCAAGCAACAACUCCCUCGUGGAUAAAGAGUUGCUAAGAGGUGUGGAGUGGAGACUAGGCUAGAAGUAGGCGACCUAUUUCAUUAAGUCUCCCGAUAGAACAAGACAAAAGAUUGAAUCCUGUAGGCUACCAAUCUGUGUAUCAGGGGCAAAAUUAACAUAGCCAUGGAAGGCAAGCAAGACAGCAAUUGUGAAGUGUGAGAUUUAAAAAAAAUAUCAAAUCUACCCUAGUGUAGCAUUUUCAAGGCUAGCAUAGGCUUCUAUACUGGACAAGGAUUCUGCUGGUUAUCCUCGAGCAGAACCCAGCCACAUGGUGCAUAAAAAUAUAAAGUGUCGCUUUAUUAUAGCAUCAAGUUUUCAUGUAGCAUUGGCCCCCCAACAAAUCCCUGCACAGUUCCCUAAAAAUAAAUGAUUUGGUGGCAUACACUACUAGAUGAAAUUUCAACUUCAGUGGCUAACUAUACUUGACUUCAUCAGGUUGUUUAAACUGAAAGAAGAUGCACAAUCUAAAUCAAACUUACGCUAUUUCUGCCAAAUUUUCUGACUUGAUCACACUCUUCCCCUCUGGGAGUUCAAGGCAAGAAUAAUGCAUAAUCAUUUCCUUCAACGUGUGCUUUGUGCUUUUAACAUCAUUCUCCCAUAAGAUACUCAAAAUGUAAGGAAUGCCCAAAAAGAAAUUUCAGCUUCUUCCAGAAAGGAUAUUAUAAAAGAUAAGCAUCCCCAUUUAAUUUCAGAGAGUCACUGGCAGUGGCUGACCUUUCUGACAUAUUCUCUUUUGACCUUUUCCCAGUGCACUUUGUCUUCAGGAGAGAAAACUGAAGCAUUCCAAAGAGCUCCUCUUGCAACCAUCACUGAAGAGGCACCUGUUGCAGCUCUAAUUCGUUUGAAAUCACCAUAAUCAAAGACAUCUCCAUUUGCAAUGACUGGAAUAGAUAAUGCUGAUACAACUUCAGCAAUCUCACUCCAUUUGGCUGGAUCCCUUGGUCUAUCUGCAACUAGUCUUCCAUGAACAGCAAGAGCAGAAACACCAGUUUUUUCAAUUCGCCUCGCCAGUUCCACUGUAUCCUGGGAAGACUUUAGAAGUCGAAUCUUACAUGUCACUGGACAGCUCAAGUUCCUCUUCAAUGUUGUCAAAAUAUCGUGAAUGAGCUCUGGUUUAUUCAACAGUGCAGCACCCAUGCCCCCACUUAUGGAAAAUGAUUUAGGGCAACCCAUAUUGACAUCUAUUGCAGCAACAUCAUUACACACUAUUUGAGCAGCAGUUAGAGCCCUCACAGCAUCAGAAGUGCCAAUUUGGAAUACAACCCGGUUUCUUUCUUCAUUGCAGGUUCUGAAGACAACAUUUUCUGUUCCUUUCUCCACAAAAUCAGUACACCCAACGUAUUCAUUUAAACUGUGGUUGCAUUCAAUGGGUUCAAGAUCAAUGAUCCCUCCUUGAAUGUAAUCUUUGCAGCAUAUGGAGCUGGUAACCGUUUACUUUGCGUUCACAUUUGACCAUCUUAUGAUCAAUAAUCUCUUCCCCGUAUGUAAUAUCAGCGCCGCAUUCAGCAGCUAGUAACCUAAACGGCAACGUCCCGACUCGAACCAUGGGAGCGAGGACCAGCUUGUUAUGGUACUCCAUAUUCUUCGUCGAUGGAGAGCUGAGAUUAGGUGAACAAAACUGCAGCACCUUUGAGUAAAU